ensembl:ncRNA B0454.13 ncRNA
UAGGCCUAGUCUCAAGCUUCGGCUCAGACUUCGGCUUUGUCUAAGGUUUAGUCUUAGGCGUAGGCUUAGGCUUAGGCUUAGAGUUAGGCUUAGGCUUAGACGUAGGCAUAGGCUUAGGAUUGUGCUUAGGCUUAGGA